AGCAACGGCUUGUAAUCAUCAUGAACAUCAAUCAGAACAAAUACCAACCUACCAGCAAUACAAUAAUGAGCAAGAAAGAUCUGGGACAGUAUUCUAGAAUUCCUAGAAAUUGAGAAGUGUAUUGAAAUCUGGCUUUACUUCCAUAAACAGAUAAUUCCCAACAUCUGAAAAAUGAAGGUAUUCGGUGAACAUUUGGAAUCCACACUAAUGUCAAUCAUAUGAAUGGAAUUAGAAAAAGAUGGACCAUUCUGAGAAAAACUACAGAAAAAUUAGAAAAACGCAUCUCUCAUAC